ACUGUAAGCUGUGGCCUCACCAGGCA
rnacentral:piRNA from 1 species